UACGUACGAGGCGAGCGUUAUCCGGAAUUACUGGGCGUAAAGCGCGCGCAGGUGGUUUGGUAAGUUGGGCGUGAAAUCUCCCGGCCUAACUGGGAGGGGUCGCCCAAGACUGGCAGACUUGAGGCUGGCAGAGGUAGGUGGAAUUCCUGGUGUAGUGGUGAAAUGCGUAGAGAUCAGGAGGAACACCGGUGGCGAAGGCGGCCUACUGGGCCAGCACUGACGCUGAGGCGCGAAAGCUCGGGGAGCGAACGGG
rnacentral:rRNA from 1 species